UUAGAGUUUGAUCCUGGCUCAGGAUGAACGCUAGCGGCAGGCUUAAUACAUGCAAGUCGAGGGGCAGCGCGGGUAGCAAUACUUGGCGGCGACCGGCAAACGGGUGCGGAACACGUACAGAACUUUCCUCUGAGUGUGGGAUAGCCCGGAGAAAUCCGGAUUAAUACCACAUAUUAUUUUGGAGUGGCAUCACUUUAAAAUUAAAGAUUUAUCGCUUAGAGAUGGCUGUGCGGCUGAUUAGGUAGUUGGUGUAGGUAAAGGCUCACCAAGCCAACGAUCAGUAACUGGUGUGAGAGCACGACCAGUCACACGGGCACUGAGACACGGGCCCGACUCCUACGGGAGGCAGCAGUAAGGAAUAUUGGUCAAUGGGGGCAACUCUGAACCAGCCAUGCCGCGUGAAGGAUGAACGCCCUCUGGGUUGUAAGCUUCUUUUAUCUGGGACGAAACACUCUUAUUCUUAAGAGCUUGACGGUACCAGAGGAAUAAGCACCGGCUAACUCCGUGCCAGCAGCCGCGGUAAUACGGGAGGGUGCAAGCGUUAUCCGGAUUCACUGGGUCUAAAGGGUGCGUAGG
rnacentral:rRNA from 1 species